CCCCUAGACGUUCUGGGCUGCACGCGCGCUACAAUAAUACGCACGGCGAGUAUCACCGAGCUCGAAAGGGCAAGGUAAACAAUAGAAAAGGUACUGUAAUGGUUAUAGAUCCUUGUAAUUAUUGAUCUUCAACGAGGAAUUCCUAGUAAGUAUGUGUCAUCAUCACGCACUGAUUACGUCCCUGCCCUUUGUACACACCGCCCGUCGCUCCUACCGAUUGGGUGAGCCGAUGAAACUCUCGGAUGUAGGCUAUUCAUAGCCCGCAGAAGAGAUUUGAAUCGUAGCGCUUAGAGGAAGGAGAAGUCGUAACA
rnacentral:rRNA from 1 species